rnacentral:rRNA from 1 species
UGGGGAAUAUUGCACAAUGGGCGCAAGCCUGAUGCAGCCAUGCCGCGUGUGUGAAGAAGGCCUUCGGGUUGUAAAGCACUUUCAGCGAGGAGGAAGGCAGUCGUGUUAAUAGCACGAUUGAUUGACGUUACUCGCAGAAGAAGCACCGGCUAACUCCGUGCCAGCAGCCGCGGUAAUACGGAGGGUGCAAGUGUUAAUCGGAAUUACUGGGCGUAAAGCGCACGCAGGCGGUUUGUUAAGUCAGAUGUGAAAUCCCCGCGCUUAACGUGGGAACUGCAUUUGAAACUGGCAAGCUAGAGUCUUGUAGAGGGGGGUAGAAUUCCAGGUGUAGCGGUGAAAUGCGUAGAGAUCUGGAGGAAUACCGGUGGCGAAGGCGGCCCCCUGGACAAAGACUGACGCUCAGGUGCGAAAGCGUGGGGAGCAAACA